AAACGGAAGGACUAGGGCCAGAGGACUCGCAGACCGGUGGGGAGACAGGGGUUGGCCACAGGAGGAAGAUGAAACAACCCUUGUCCUUGAAGAGGAUAUUUUCCAGCAGGGAAGCUGGAAAUAUACACAGAAAACAGCAGGUGUUUAGAAGCUGUUCUCUUUGCUUCUUUGCCUGCGCUCGGCAGCCCUGGCCAGACCACAUUCUUUUGCGUGAAGUGCUUCACUGGC